rnacentral:rRNA from 1 species
UACAGAGGUCUCAAGCGUUGUUCGGAUUCAUUGGGCGUAAAGCGCGUGUAGGCGGCCCGGUAAGUCCGCUGUGAAAGUCCAGGGCUCAACCCUGGGAUGCCGGUGGAUACUGCCGGGCUCGAGUCCGGAAGAGGCGAGUGGAAUUCCUGGUGUAGCGGUGAAAUGCGCAGAUAUCAGGAGGAACACCAAUGGCGAAGGCAGCUCGCUGGGACGUGACUGACGCUGAGACGCGAAAGCGUGGGGAGCAAACAGG